GCUUAUGGCCAUACCACCCUGAGCACGCCCGAACUGUCUGAUCUCGGAAGCUAAGCAGUGUCGGGCCUGGUUAGUACUUGGAUGGGAGACCGCCUGGGAAUACCAGGUGCUGUAAGCU
rnacentral:rRNA from 1 species